GACGAACGCUGGCGGCGUGCUUAACACAUGCAAGUCGAACGGAAAGGCCCUGCUUUUGUGGGGUGCUCGAGUGGCGAACGGGUGAGUAACACGUGAGUAACCUGCCCUUGACUUUGGGAUAACUUCAGGAAACUGGGGCUAAUAUCGGAUAGGAGCUCCUGCUGCAUGGUGGGGGUUGGAAAGUUUCGGCGGUUGGGGAUGGACUUGCGGCUUAUCAGCUUGUUGGUGGGGUAGUGGCUUACCAAGGCUUUGACGGGUAGCCGGCCUGAGAGGGUGACCGGCCACAUUGGGACUGAGAUACGGCCCAGACUCCUACGGGAGGCAGCAGUGGGGAAUAUUGCACAAUGGGCGGAAGCCUGAUGCAGCAACGCCGCGUGCGGGAUGACGGCCUUCGGGUUGUAAACCGCUUUCGCCUGUGACGAAGCGUGAGUGACGGUAAUGGGUAAAGAAGCACCGGCUAACUACGUG
rnacentral:rRNA from 1 species